rnacentral:ncRNA from 2 species
UUUUUACUGAUGAAGCAGGAUACCCCAUUACAAGGGGUUUAAUAGGGAAUCACGUGAAAAUCGUGAGCUGACGCGCAACUGUAAAGCCGAUCACGUGUUGUGCAGCGUUAUACCACUGUUCCGUUUGAUGCGGAAUGGGAAGGUGCUGCACAACCGGCAAGCCAGGAGACCUGUCCCGCUUCUUUUCUUGUA